rnacentral:rRNA from 1 species
AAAUUGAAGAGUUUGAUCAUGGCUCAGAUUGAACGCUGGCGGCAGGCCUAACACAUGCAAGUCGAACGGUAACAGGAAGCAGCUUGCUGCUUUGCUGACGAGUGGCGGACGGGUGAGUAAUGUCUGGGAAACUGCCUGAUGGAGGGGGAUAACUACUGGAAACGGUGGCUAAUACCGCAUAACGUCGCAAGACCAAAGAGGGGGACCUUCGGGCCUCUUGCCAUCAGAUGUGCCCAGAUGGGAUUAGCUUGUUGGUGAGGUAACGGCUCACCAAGGCGACGAUCCCUAGCUGGUCUGAGAGGAUGACCAGCCACACUGGAACUGAGACACGGUCCAGACUCCUACGGGAGGCAGCAGUGGGGAAUAUUGCACAAUGGGCGCAAGCCUGAUGCAGCCAUGCCGCGUGUAUGAAGAAGGCCUUCGGGUUGUAAAGUACUUUCAGCGGGGAGGAAGGUGUUGCGGUUAAUAACCGCAGCAAUUGACGUUACCCGCAGAAGAAGCACCGGCUAACUCCGUGCCAGCAGCCGCGGUAAUACGGAGGGUGCAAGCGUUAAUCGGAAUUACUGGGCGUAAAGCGCACGCAGGCGGUCUGUCAAGUCGGAUGUGAAAUCCCCGGGCUCAACCUGGGAACUGCAUUCGAAACUGGCAGGCUUGAGUCUUGUAGAGGGGGGUAGAAUUCCAGGUGUAGCGGUGAAAUGCGUAGAGAUCUGGAGGAAUACCGGUGGCGAAGGCGGCCCCCUGGACAAAGACUGACGCUCAGGUGCGAAAGCGUGGGGAGCAAACAGGAUUAGAUACCCUGGUAGUCCACGCCGUAAACGAUGUCUACUUGGAGGUUGUGCCCUUGAGGCGUGGCUUCCGGAGCUAACGCGUUAAGUAGACCGCCUGGGGAGUACGGCCGCAAGGUUAAAACUCAAAUGAAUUGACGGGGGCCCGCACAAGCGGUGGAGCAUGUGGUUUAAUUCGAUGCAACGCGAAGAACCUUACCUGGUCUUGACAUCCACAGAAGAAUCCAGAGAUGGAUUUGUGCCUUCGGGAACUGUGAGACAGGUGCUGCAUGGCUGUCGUCAGCUCGUGUUGUGAAAUGUUGGGUUAAGUCCCGCAACGAGCGCAACCCUUAUCCUUUGUUGCCAGCGGUUAGGCCGGGAACUCAAAGGAGACUGCCAGUGAUAAACUGGAGGAAGGUGGGGAUGACGUCAAGUCAUCAUGGCCCUUACGACCAGGGCUACACACGUGCUACAAUGGCGCAUACAAAGAGAAGCGACCUCGCGAGAGCAAGCGGACCUCAUAAAGUGCGUCGUAGUCCGGAUUGGAGUCUGCAACUCGACUCCAUGAAGUCGGAAUCGCUAGUAAUCGUGGAUCAGAAUGCCACGGUGAAUACGUUCCCGGGCCUUGUACACACCGCCCGUCACACCAUGGGAGUGGGUUGCAAAAGAAGUAGGUAGCUUAACCUUCGGGAGGGCGCUUACCACUUUGUGAUUCAUGACUGGGGUGAAGUCGUAACAAGGUAACCGUAGGGGAACCUGCGGUUGGAUCACCUCCUUA